CAGACCCUCGGACUCUGAACCAGAACCUUCUGCUGCACACCAGAGAGUGCUGCUUCCUGAUUGGAUGGUUUCACAGGACAGAAGAUAUUGCUGACAGCAGCUCUCGCAGUGUUUGAAUUUUUGGCUUCAGCUUGGAGGAAACAAACACCGCUGACCCGCAGUCUUGACAUCAUUCAGCAGCAGCUGAGGCCAAAACGCCAUCAUCUUGGAUGACCCGCUGCUGUCCACACGCUGCUGGCAUUAACGAGAAACACAGAGAGCAAACCGUUUCCUGUUCUUCUGUCUGACAUGGCAGUCUCUGAGCAGAACCUGGAUGACUACAGUAUCUACAGUCACCUGGCAGACGAGGAGCUGCUGCAGAUCGCUGUUGAGAGAAGCUUGUCUGAUAAACAGGCUUCAUCAUCAUCAUCAUCAUCAUCAUCAUCAGGCCCAAUCCAAACAAACCCUAACCCCACACACAGAGGUCCUGACCCCCCCCAAAAGUGUGCAAACGGUUCCUGCACCUGAACCUGCCCCCCACAUCCAAAAUUGUAUAAACCCUCCCACAGCCCUGUCACAGUUUCUCUACAAGGUCUACAAGAGAGAGGUCAGUCCAUUACAGUCCAUCAUCACGAAUGGGGAUGCAGAGGCUCUGAUGGAAUUGGUCCGGAGGCGGUUAAGCAGCCUUAUGGAGCCAAAUG